rnacentral:lncRNA from 1 species
UGACGUUACUCCCAAUAUCACAGAGGGUGUACCCCCUCUGUUAUAUGGUUCAUAACAUACAAGAGGGGAGAUGACGGUACUUCCAGUAUCACAGUGGGUGUACCCCCUCUGUGGUAUGGUUCUUGUAGUAUAAAAUGGGGGAGAAGACUUUACUCCCAAUAUAACAGGGGAUGUAAGGAAUGCCAUGAGAAAAUGGCACUGCAUUUACCAAGUCACCACCAGAUUCUUGUGCAACGAUAAAGUUUGGGACUAUGUAUUAACAAUUUCAUAAAUAAAUAAUCAACAAUUUUCUUUCCACUAUUUUAGAGUCAGAUGCCUCCCUCCUCCCCCACAGAGGUCUCCCACCAUUCUAACCUCACAGGGCUUGGGGUGGGAUGAGAUUUAAAUUUAUAUGAAAAUACUUACAAAUAUUUUAAAAUUAUUUCUUACUGUUGCUAUAUUUAUCAUACAAAAAUAUGAAUACUUAAUCAUUUUUAGGUGAGGCUAGUGUAAAAAAAUGGACCUUCCAAUCAAAACUCUAUAAAUAAAAAUUUUAAAUGCUAUCUUGGUUCUCAUCCUUGGCAAUGAUUCUUAAAUAUAUCUCUAUAUAUUAGGAAUCUGCAGCUCUGCAGUGUGGCCCAG